GCCGGCAUGGCGCAAUGGUAGCGCAGGACAUUUGUAAUGUCAAGGCUGGGGGUUCAAGUCCCUCUGCCGGCUCCA
rnacentral:tRNA from 1 species